GCUUGUUACAACACAAUGAUUAGACUGACAGCUUGGCUUGAGAUCCUAGGAGAAAAAUAAUUGACUAGGGGCUAAGAGACUUGAGGGGAACUAGCCCACUUCUGAUGCUGCAUGACUGAGAAGAAGUAGUAUCAUAGAAUCAUGGUACUUUAAAGCUGGAGAGAAACAUCUCAAAAAUAAGCAACCUGGACCAGGAGGAAGGCAAGCAGGUCUGAGGGAGAGA
rnacentral:lncRNA from 10 species